rnacentral:rRNA from 1 species
UGCCCCAUAGUCUGGGAUACCACUUGGAAACAAGGUGCUAAUACCGGAUAAGAAAGCGGAUCGCAUGAUCAGCUUUUAAAAGGCGGCGUAAGCUGUCGCUAUGGGAUGGCCCCGCGGUGCAUUAGCUAGUUGGUAAGGUAAAGGCUUACCAAGGCGAUGAUGCAUAGCCGAGUUGAGAGACUGAUCGGCCACAUUGGGACUGAGACACGGCCCAAACUCCUACGGGAGGCAGCAGGC